AGACUACGAAAUGCCGACCAAGUCACAAGGCCACAGUGAGCACGGUAGAAAGCAAUGGUGAAAGGCAGUUUUCCUCGAAUGAGAGCAUCAGACAGGCAUGCCCGGGACCAGCUGUGGGAAUCCUGAGAGACAGACAUGAAGCACUUCACUUGGAAAUGCUUUCUUAGUCUUUCAAUUUAACAUUCAAAGGGAUGAGGGAUUUUUAUCAACAGCAGCCAGCUGCAAUGCAAAG
rnacentral:lncRNA from 1 species